AUUACCGAUGAUAUUCGUCCAACAACUACACAGUUGUACCUUGUGAACCGUACCAAACUAUUCAGGGGUCGGCUUGUCCGUUAAAUGGUCGUCGGACGCGAGAGAUCGCGGCCGCUCGACCGGCCCCGCACGCGUUUUGUUUUUUAUAAACAUAUGUGUACCUGUCUGACCAAGCGUUGCGGCCGGCCCAAGGGUCGGUCGCGGCAAUUAGAGCAAAAAACGAGAUACAACUUUUGACGGUGGAUCUCUUGGCUCACGCAUCGAUGAAGAACGCAGCCAGCUGCGAUAAGUAGUGUGAAUUGCAGAAUUCAGUGAAUCAUCGAAUCUUUGAACGCAAAUGGCGCUCUUGGGUUCUCCCAGGAGCAUGUCUGUCUGAGUGUCGGAUAUCAUCCAACGCACGCCAGCGUGCGGAAUUGAGRCGUCACGGUCCGUACUGCACGGACCGUGUCCCUUGAAAGUCAGAGAGACUCGCCGCGUCGCGGGAAGAUUCCCCGUGCACACCAGCGGAGGCUAAAAUGUCUUUUGCCCUUCGCGUGCCGGGAAGUCGCCGCGUGCGGCGGUCGUCGUCGGGCGAACUUUAAUUAUCUUGACCUCAGAUCAGGCAAGGCUACCCGCUGAAUUUAAGCAUAUUAAUAA
rnacentral:rRNA from 1 species